GGAAGGGUGUCUGAGUGGUUGAAAGAGCACGCUUGGAAAGCGUGUGUGUCUCACGACACCGCGGGUUCGAAUCCCGUCCCUUCCUCCA
rnacentral:tRNA from 1 species